GAUCCAGCCAUGCCGCGUGUAGGAAGANGGCCCUAUGGGUUGUAAACUACUUUUGUACGGGAAGAAAUAUAUCUACGUGUAGAUAUUUGACGGUACCGUAAGAAUAAGCACCGGCUAACUCCGUGCCAGCAGCCGCGGUAAUACGGAGGGUGCAAGCGUUAUCCGGAAUCAUUGGGUUUAAAGGGUCCGUAGGCGGGCUAAUAAGUCAGUGGUGAAAUGCAGGGGCUUAACUCCGGCACUGCCAUUGAUACUGUUAGUCUUGAAUUAUUGUGAAGUGGUUAGAAUAUGUAGUGUAGCGGUGAAAUGCUUAGAUAUUACAUAGAAUACCAAUUGCGAAGGCAGAUCACUAACAAUAUAUUGACGCUGAUGGACGAAAGCGUGGGUAGCGAACAGGAUUAGAUACCCUGGUAG
rnacentral:rRNA from 1 species